rnacentral:rRNA from 1 species
GACAGAGGUGCCAAGCGUUUAGGCGGAAUCACUGGGCUUAAAGCGUGUGUAGGCGGAAUGGUAAGUACCUUGUGAAAUCCCUCGGCUUAACCGAGGAACUGCCCUCCAAACUGCUUGGCUUGAGUCCGGGAGAGGUGAGUGGAAUUCCCAGUGUAGCGGUGAAAUGCGUAGAUAUUGGGAGGAACACCAGUGGCGAAGGCGGCUCACUGGACCGGAACUGACGCUGAGGCGCGAAAGCGUGGGGAGCAAACGGG